rnacentral:lncRNA from 1 species
AUGUUAUGGCAUCACCUCCCUGAUGUCAUGGUCCUCUUCAAGAGCAAAGGACAAACCACACAAGGUGAUCCGACUUCUGUACUGGAACAAAUGGCUGCAUUAUCUGUCUGCUGCAUCUUGGACUCUAGGAUCUUAGAGGCAAAAUUUAAACUCCCUGCUCUCUGGUGCCAGCUGUAGCUCCUGCGUCAUGGACCGAUAACUAUAAGGAACUCAGAAAUCAUCUACUUCCAACCCCCUCGUUUUACAGAUAAAGGAACUGAGGCCAAGAGGCCUGACUUGAGGCCCAGCUUGGGCAAGGCAAGACAGGUGGAAGAUCCAGGAUCUGACUGCUGCCUCCAAAUCUAGAACUCUUUCUAUGGUACCGCCUUAGGAUCCUCUAACCAGCCUGGCCCACUCUUUGCACCCCAGAACAUGCGUUGAGGUGUUUAUAAUCUACUUUGCGCCUUGUAUUCCCUAUGCCUGAGGUAUUUUUUCCUCUUAAUUCCUGUGUGCCUCUUUAAAGCCCUUCUCAGAGGCCACGUCUUUCAGUAAGCCUUUUUUGAUCUUCUCUGGUUGUUAAAGAUUCUGCUGUCCCCACAGCUUUGGAUUUAACUUUGCCUUUAAUUUUGCAAUUCUGUGACACAUGUAACUGUGAUGUAUUAAUGUUAAAUUAUUAAAAUGUUAAAUGACACUUGCAUUUGUGUCUUAUCCGCUUCCUAAAAUGUCAGUUUCUUGUGCACUGUGCUUUUUAUCUACCUCAGUAUCUAUCACAAUGCUUAUCAAACAAUUAAGUUGAUCCCCCUAGCUGCUAGCAUCCUCUGUUGAAAAACUAAAUUGGGGUGUGUGUGUGUGUGUGUGUGUGUGUGUGUGUGUGUGAGAGUGAUGCAUAAAUUUAUACGGUCCCUUCUUAGAAUGUUAGCCUCCUGAGGGCUGGGAAUGUUUCACUUUUGUUUUUGUAUCCCUAGUGCUUAGCAUAGGACCUAGGCCACCCAUAGUAGGUGCUUAAUAAAUGCUUGUUGGUUGAAUAAACUUUUAUUGAA